AGUGAACGCUGAAGUAGGCCUAACACAUGCAAGUCGAACGGCAGCACAGGAGAGCUUGCUCUCUGGGAGGCGAGUGGAGAAAAAGUACAGAAACACACAGCAUCUACUUUUUCGUGGGGGAUAACGUAGGACACCUUCACAUACUACCGCAUCCAACAUCAGGGAGCAAAAAGGGGAUCUACGGACCUUGCGCGCUUGAAUGAGCAGCUGUCGGAUUAGCUAGUUGGCGGGGUAAAGGCCCACCAAGGCGACGAUCCGUAGCUGGUCUGAGAGGAUGAUCAGCCACACUGGAACUGAGACACGGUCCAGACUCCUACGGGAGGCAGCAGCCGGGAAUAUUGGACAAUGGGCGCAAGCCUGAGCCAGCCAUACCGCGUGGGUGAAGAAGGACUUCGGGUUGUAAAGCCCUUUUGUUGGGAAAGAAAUCCAGCUGGUUAAUACCCGGUUGGGAUGACGGUACCCAAAGAAUAAGCACCGGCUAACUUCGUGCCAGCCGCCGCGGCAA
rnacentral:rRNA from 1 species